rnacentral:misc_RNA from 1 species
CUGAUCUCGAGUACUCGUGCACGAACCAUCAAGAGGGCAAACAGUGGCGAUGUUUAAUUCUUGCUGAUCAUCAGAAAAUCUUUCGCCUAGCUUGAUCAGCAAGCUUCUAAGGGAUUCUUGAUCCCAGAAAUGAGAAUAUUGGGUUGGAUUCAUGGCUGGCAUGACUGCUGCUGCUGGUAGCUCAGGCCAGUAAUUAUGGGUCUGUUGAUUCAUGAUCCCAGGAACCAUAAAACUCUGGCUUUCCCUCUUUAUCUCUUGCCUGAGAGUAGCUCGCCGGGCUUGUUGUUCUUUGCGCUGCUUACCUAGAAGCUUCUUCUUGAGCCUUGUGUUCCAAUAGUUCUUGAUAUCAUUAUCAGUU